UCAGAGGAGAGGCAUAACCUGUGCUCCAUUCACAUCAUCUGGAUUGCUCAAAGGAAAAAGAAGAGAAAAAAUAUGCUUUUAAAAUGUUGCUUGGAUUAACUGUACAUUUUUGAGGACACUACCAGUGAAGCAAGUCAUCCACUCCAGGGCAUGAACAUGGAUUUUCUUUCUUUAAAAUAUUCAAAUGGAAAAAAAGGACUUGAAAUCCUAAGAUUCCUGUUCACCGAGGAGAUGUUUCCUACUCAGACUGCUGAUGCACAGCUAUUCACAUCUGGAGAAAAAGGAUGACAAGAAUUGCAUUCACUCUUCAUGUGACAACUCACAGCUGAAAGAAUCUCAAGUAUUUUUUGGGAAUCUACAUAUCAAGAAUAAUAAAAAUUGCAAGAAAACUCAUGAGGGAGCGCAGAAGGAAGAAGGAAUAUAUGAACAAGUCUCCACACAGCAAAUAUCACCUCCAGUCAUAUUCAUACAAGAUAACGAGAUGACCCCUCUGCCACUUUCCUUCAAAGUUGAAACAGAGGUUACAUUUUUGAACAUUUAAAAUAAAUGUCUGCCUUCUGUAAAGAAAAAAAAAAGGGGGGGGGGGGGGGGGGGGGGGGAGAUAAAAAAAAAAAAAAAAGGUGUUGCUCAAGGGAAACUAUCAGUACUUGAGAGAACCAUAAUCCCCACCAUCUGCUACCACAGAGACAGAGCAACUAUUCACAGCUUUUGUAGCAGUCCUCAGGCUGCAAUUGUACUGCAGCUGAGGGUGGUCACAGUAGACCUGAGCAAUUUUAUAUCUUUACUGCUUAUUCCCAUGCCUACUGCUGCCUUUCUUCCUCUCUGCUCUGCCCAGUUUUUCACUGUAAUAGGCAAAAUGAGGGCAGGGAAGAGACUGUAUCUUUCUGAUCUUUAGGCCACCUGCUGCCACCAACAGAAACAUGAAAUACGUAUUGUAUUUGGGGCCUGUAGGAGGUGCCCCCUAGGCUGAGAUUCAUUUCCUUUAAUUAUAGUCAUCUAAAAAGUAUCCAGUCUAAGUUAACUAUCAAGGCUCCUCCUAUAGACAAUAAAGAAGUGGCUCUACCAAAGGGUGAAUCAUUGUACCCUACAGUUGGUAUUAAUCCCAAAACAAAUGCUGUGAAAAAUUAAUUGUCCUAUAAGCCACAAAAAGAGCUCAAUACCCAAUUCAGAACAAAUAUUUAGUAUGGGCUUUGGUCAAGCAAAUAGAGAUACCUCCAAUACUUAUCUCAUCCAAUCAUUUAGACUUUUUUUAAAGCCAAUAGAAAGAGCAAGAACUUUUGGUUCCUUUCCUCCUGAUGCAGGUACAUAAAGAUUGAAAAGAUAUAAGCUUUCCUCUGCACUAUUCAUAGAAUCAUAGAAUCACAGAAUCAUAGAAUGGCUUGGAUUGAAGGUACCUUCAAGCCUAUCCAGUUUCAACAUGCUGAAGAGCACCGAUUGCCACUCACUAGAUCAGGCUGCCCAGAUCUGGCCUUGAACACAUCCAGAGAUGGAGCAUCCACGAUUUCUCUAGGAAACCUGAAGCUGCCUGGAGUUGUCCAGUGUUCCAGUGCCUCACCAUCUUUCUUCUGAGUAAAAACUUUCUUCUUAAAAUCUAGCCUAAAACUCUCUUCUUUUAGUUUAAAGCUGUUCCCCCUCGUCCUUUCACUAUUUCCUCAUGUUAAAGAGUCAGUUACCACCUUGUUUAUAAAUUCUCUUUAAAUACUAAUGUCAGUGGCAUAGACCUUUUCAUAAAGAUUUAUACAGUUAGAAGAAGUGACUUAAUUUCUGCUUUCCAGAUGACUGAAAUUAUGUGAUAUGAGUCCAGGUUUUACUGGCUGACCCACAUAAUGAGAAAUCAUACUGUGAAAGCAAUACCGCUAUCUUCAAAAUACUAGUUCACAUUGACCAACAAUAGCACUUUCUCUUUCUGGACUAUGAGGCUUCUCAUGAACUUUCCAGAAAACCACACAGUAAGCCAAAGACAGAAAAUGACUCCUUCCUCUACUACACCAACACCACUGUAAAAGUGAUAAUUACUCCAAAAUCUUUGAGUUAUGGAAAGAGAAGAGAGUAAAAUUUAAUGUCAGAGGUAAAAUGUGUGCAUGUUAUGUGAACUGCCUACAAGUGUUUAUAGAUAGAUAGUCCAUAGCACUUAAUUUUCGUAGACUUAUUAGUUUAUGAUAAAUAUAUUAUACAAGCUACACAUUUAUAAAAAUGUUUAUUCACUACAGCAUGCAUUUAAGUAAGUACAAGUUCAUGAUAACCUUUAUAACACAAGCAUCUUUACUUCAUUGGCAUUUAAGUAUUGGAUUGAGUUUUAUCUCAGUGAGCUCAUUAGAGAGAGCUGAAUGUAUGGGAGGAUAGAUCUUCAGACUCAUUUCAUCUCAAUUUUUACAGUUAAUUAUUGGAACAAAACACUAAAUAAGAACACAAACAGUAUUACAACUUAAAAUGGAAGGUUAGGUGGCAGAUAUGGAGAUAUGGUUUUAUAAAAAAAAAACAUAAGUUAAAUGCUAAGAACUCAUUCAUAAUAGAAAGUAAUUUCCCAAGUAUUAUGCGCUAUCUCCACUAUGGUUAAACAUCAUAAAUUAACAGUGCACAUUCCUAUUCUAAUGUCUUGUGUUCUUCAAUAUUCUUAAAAAUCAGUGGAAUCAAAAGUCCGCUUGUGCUUCAAUAGACAUAAUAGAAGACAAUUUAAUUGUCAGAAAUGUGCUUUAGAUAAUACUUCUUAUCUUCAGGCAACACAUUUUAUUACCUAAAACUUCAUUACUGUGUAGGAAAAAAAAAAAAAAAAAA
ensembl:lncRNA